rnacentral:misc_RNA from 1 species
UGGAAGUAAAAAAUCGUAACAAGGUUUCCGUAGGUGAACCUGCGGAAGGAUCAUUACCUAGAGUUGUAGGCUUUGCCUGCUAUCUCUUACCCAUGUCUUUUAAGUACCUUCGUUUCCUCGGCGGGUUCGCCCGCCGAUUGGACAAUUUAAACCAUUUGCAGUUGCAAUCAGCGUCUGAAAAAACUUAAUAGUUACAACUUUCAACAACGGAUCUCUUGGUUCUGGCAUCGAUGAAGAACGCAGCGAAAUGCGAUAAGUAGUGUGAAUUGCAGAAUUCAGUGAAUCAUCGAAUCUUUGAACGCACAUUGCGCCCCUUGGUAUUCCAUGGGGCAUGCCUGUUCGAGCGUCAUUUGUACCUUCAAGCUCUGCUUGGUGUUGGGUGUUUGUCUCGCCUCUGCGUGUAGACUCGCCUCAAAACCAAUUGGCAGCCGGCGUAUUGAUUUCGGAGCGCAAGUACAUCUCGCGCUUUUGCACUUCAUAACGACGACGUCCAAAAGUACAUUUUUACACUCUUGACCUCGGAUCAGGUAGGGAUACCCGCUGAACUUAAGCAUAUCAAUUAA